rnacentral:rRNA from 1 species
UAAUACGUAGGAGGCGAGCGUUAUCCGGAUUUACUGGGCGUAAAGGGGCGUAGGUGCUCUUUCAAGUCGAGUGUAAAAUCUCCUGGCUCAACUGGGAGGGAUCAUUCGAUACUGUUAGGCUAGAGGGCAGCAGAGGGAGGUGGAAUUCCCGGUGGAGUGGUGAAAUGCGUAGAUAUCGGGAGGAACACCAGUGGCGAAGGCGGCCUCCUGGGCUGUUUCUGACACUGAGGCCCGAAAGCGUGGGGAGCGAACAGGAUUAGAUACCCUGGUAGUCCACGCUGUAAACUAUGGACACUAGGUAUGGGGAGUAUCGACCCUUUCUGUGCCGAAGCUAACGCGUUAAGUGUCUCGCCUGGGGAGUACGGCCGCAAGGCUA